GGCAGAGUGGCCGAGUGGUCUAUGGCGACGGUCUCAAGAGCAUGUUUUCUAUGCGCUUUCAUCUGCCCAAAGCAGUGUUCCGUUCACGAAAGUGGCCGGGGUUCGAAUCCCCGCUCUGUCA